rnacentral:rRNA from 1 species
GACAGCGUACCUUUUGUAUAAUGGGUCAGCGACUUAAUUUAACGAGCAAGCUUAAGCCGAUAGGUGUAGGCGCAGCGAAAGCGAGUCUGAAUAGGGCGUCAAGUUCGUUGGAUUAGACCCGAAACCGAGUGAUCUAGCCAUGGCCAGGUUGAAGGUGCGGUAACACGCACUGGAGGACCGAACCCACGCCUGUUGAAAAAGUCGGGGAUGAGCUGUGGCUAGGGGUGAAAGGCCAAUCAAACUCGGAGAUAGCUGGUUCUCCGCGAAAUCUAUUUAGGUAGAGCGUCGGAUGAAUACUCUCGGGGGUAGAGCACUGGAUGGGCUAUGGGGGCUUACCGCCUUACUGAUCCUAACCAAACUCCGAAUACCCGGGAGUACUAGAUGGCAGACACACGGCGGAUGCUAACGUCCGUCGUGGAGAGGGAAACAACCCUGACCUCCAGCUAAGGCCCCUAAUUCAUGGCUAAGUGGGAAAGCAGGUGGGACGACCAAAACAACCAGGAGGUUGGCUUAGAAGCAGCCAUCCUUUAAAGAUAGCGUAACAGCUCACUGGUCUAAACAAGUUGUCCUGCGGCGAAGAUGUAACGGGGCUCAAGCCAUGAGCCGAAGCUGAGGAUGCACAUAGUGCAUGGUAGCGGAGCGUAGUGUG